CCUCCUUCCCUGAGUGCUGUCCCAUACUGUUGGCCUGGUCUGCUAGAACUAUUGAAAGGUUUUUGAGGGAAAAAUGACCAACAGUGGAUGAGGAUAUGUCUGGGAUUAUUGGAGAGAUCUUGGCCAGUGGGACACAGUGAGUUCACCAAAGUGUCCUGAGAGAGCUGGGCGAUGUCCUCCAAGGCCAUUCUCUGUCAACUUUGAAAGCUAAACUGAAUACUCUUGAACCAGAACCACCUAAAUUACUUAUGGAGAGGUUAGUCAGAUACUAAAGGAAUAACAGUUACUAGUACGGAAUUAAUGUGGAUCACAAUUGCCAGUCUCUUCAGCCAACAGAUUAGUCAACCAGUAGAAUAAUAAAACUGUAUGAUUCAAAUGAU